rnacentral:rRNA from 1 species
UACGGAGGGUGCAAGCGUUAUCCGGAAUCACUGGGUUUAAAGGGUGCGUAGGCGGCGCAAUAAGUCAGAGGUGAAAUCCUACAGCUUAACUGUAGAACUGCCUUUGAAACUAUUGUGCUCGAAUAAAGUUGAGGUCAGCGGAAUGUGACAUGUAGCGGUGAAAUGCAUAGAUAUGUCAUAGAACACCAAUUGCGAAGGCAGCUGACUGGGCUUUUAUUGACGCUGAGGCACGAAAGCGUGGGGAGCGAACAGG